GGACCAGCUUAAUGUUCAUAUCAAUCUUCCCAAACAGAUAUUGGUUCUUGGAUUGAAAACCAGAGCCGGAGAAUUUGUCGAGGGUGAGAGUGAGAAGGUUUCCGUUUUCGAGAAUCUUGCCCCUGCCAUCACCCCAAGUAACAUCGAUGUCUUGGUUAAAGUUGGCAGCUGAGGCAAGUAUUACAAAGCUGAAUAAAAGAGAGAGAAGCAACGAAGUGGUCAUUAUUUUGGUGGGUUUGUAUUGUAAUUUAGAUUAUGAUGUUUGAAAUGGGGAAGUGAUAGAGGGUGGUUAUAUAGGGGGGAAGGAUUUGGUGAAACAGAGUAGAGAGGGGUUGUUUGGAAGCUUCGUGGUAUGUGUUUCCGUCGGGACAUUGAGUGAAUCGAAGUUGUAAACAGCUGGAACCGUAAAAGAGAAAGAAAGAAGGGGUCCAAAUGUGAUAAUACAUAACUAAUGGCUGUUCCUUGCUUCCAAAAUGCAUGUUUAAUUAAUGGGUUUGGUGCCUUCUUCCUAUGUCUGGUUGGUGCAAGCAGAUAGAUAUGAAUGUCAGGAAUUUAAUCCGAUUUUAAAAUUUGAGCUUUUAAAUAAAAAAUAAAUUAUUUAAGAUAAUAUCAAUGACUGUUAAAAUAAACUUUAAAAAUAUAGGUGUUUUUAUAUCCAAUAGUAAGUUACAUUAUAUUUUUAAAAAGAAGAUCGUGUAUUUGAAUUUUGAAAAUAUUGAAAUGAUCUUAAAAUAAACAUGAUUAAUUUGUUCUACAAUUUGAGUGAACCAAAAGAUUUCAUUAGCUUAAAAUCAACGGUGUUAAUUAAUAUGAGUAAUUGUCAAUGGCAAAACCAGGGGAGGAUAGCAGGGUCUUAGACCCCCUAAAAUAAAAAAAAUUUCGUAUGAUCUUUUGAGUAAAGGUAAAAUUAUAUUUUGGUCAAACUUAGAAAUAUAAAAAUUUAAUUUAAUCUUUUAAAAUUUAUAAAAAUAUAGUCUAUUAAAAUAAUAAAAUUAUAUUUUUUAUCGUAAAAAUUACAAUUUAAUUUUAACUGUUAAAUUUUUUUUAAAAUUUCACCCAUAUUGAUUGACUAAUUUUUGGGACCAACAAAAACUCAUCCACUGGGCUCAUCAUCUCAAACAAAAAUAAUAAUUAAACUAAUUAUAAAAAUGUCUAACCAAGUUCACAUUUUUAACAUUCUUUCAAUGAAAAUUAAAAUGAUUUUUACGCUUCGCGUUAAUUUAAUUAUUUAUUUAUCUCAAAUUUUGGAGUAUAAAUUUGAAUGUUAAAAUAUACUUUAAUCCUCCUAUCAUUUUCAGAAAUUUAAACCCUCUACUCUUGAGGAUAAAUAGACAUAAAUGAUUUGUUUAACUAUUAAGUAGAAAUUAAUCACAAAUAAUUAAAAUAGAAAAAUAAAAUUUAAAAUUUUUAAAAAAUAUAUAUUUGAACAUUAAGUAGCAAAAAAAAAACAAGUAACUUAAAUGUGAAAAUAAAAUUUAAAAAUUAUAAAAAUUAAUUCUUUUCCAAAAUACUAAUUAAAUUGUCUUUAUUAAGUUUUAAUACCUAAAUUACUUCUACUAAUUUUUUUUAUAGUACCUAAGCUACCCCUACUUACUCCUUAUGGCUAUCAAAGGAGAUGGUUUUAUUAUUUAUAGAUAGAUAGAUAACUUUAAAUAAAAGAAUGUUCAUCAAUUAGCUUUUAAAGUAUUGAUAAGUGUUAAAAGUAAUAUAUUUUAACCUCAUUCUUAAUGUGUUUUUGGGUGAUAAUUCGAUGUUAAUUGUGAAUUUUAUACUCUUAAUCCUUUAAAUUCAUGUUUUGAUGCCUAAUAGAGCAAAAGGAGCAAAAAACGAGUAAAAACCGAAAAAUCAAAGCAAGUUAUAGGACCUAUACGGGCAAACCCAUUCCACAUGACCAUGUGACCCACAUGAGCUACCAUACGAGCGUGUGGUAGGUCGUGUCGAUUGCACGGAUUUGCAUUCUGAAUAGCAAAAAAUCACGUUUUUAAAGUGUUUUAGGCAUUCUAAAACGUAUAUUUGACAAAAAUAAAAAGAUAGAAGGGAGCCAUUAUAGAAUUUUCAAGAAAACAACUCGAAAAACACCAUUGAAGCCGAUUCUGAAGUAGAUUUCCGUCAAGAUUGAAGACUCUCAGUUGAUUUCUUAAGAGAUUGUCAUAAGUUUUUUUUAUUUCUUUCGGUUAUACUGUAUCUUGGAUUUUUUUUUUCAAGCAUGAAUUAAUUUUCUAAAUACCUAGGGAGAUGAACCUUAUGAUGGAUUCUUACGUUUGAUUUUUAUUUUACGCAAUAAAUAAUUAUUUUUUAUUCUUAAUUAUCUGUGCUUAAUUUAUUGGUUUAAUAUUUCUAAACUAUUGAUCCAUAUUUGAUGUACUUAAAUCAGAGGUUAAAUAAACCAUAUGUAAGAGUAGAUUUUGCUUAAUUGAGUGGAGUUGCAUGCAAUCCCAAAAAUAUGAUGACAUAAAUCUAUUGGAUUAGAGUCAAAUCUAAUUGGGAAAUCCAUAGCCCGAGUUAAUGCGAUAAUAAGAGUUUUAAUUAAAAAGAACAAUCAAUUAAUCAACCUAGAGUCAGUUGCUCUUAUUCUCGAAAGAGAUAUUAGCAUAAUUAGGGGUUUCCAUGGAUCAUGUCACUAAAUAAAGAAAUUGCGUAAUUUAGAUUGAUAGUGACAGAUGAAAUCUAGGUGAAUUAUUUCAUGAGUAUUGUUUCGCUUCUUAGUUAUUAAUCCUUUAUUUGCUUCUUUUGUUCUUUGCUAUGUUUAUUAGUUAAUUAAAUUUAGUUUUUAAAUCAAUCACUUGAAUUAUUCUGUUAAAUGAUAGAAAAAGAUAAUAAUUAUUAGCACUUUUAAUUUUCAUAGAAACGAUAUCUUUAUUCAUUAUACCUAUACAAUUAACUGAUAAAUAAAUUUACUUUAGCUAGUUCCGUGGACAUAAAGUAAUACCAAUAAUUCGGAAUGAAUGAUAGGAAAUUUGAUUUUUUUUAUUGAAAUUUUAUAAAUAAAAAAUAAUAUUGAGAAAUCCAACUUAAGAAUUCAACACUAAUAUCACAUAAGAGAAAAGACAUAUGAUAUGAUAGGAAAGCAGGUUGAUGACUGGCUUGUGGAUAAUUAUGAAAAGGCAAACAAAAGAGAGAAUAUGAUUACAAAUAAACAGCUGGCUGCCAGAAUCAUUUCAUUGUGAAAAAAAUAUGUUAUAACAUGUUAAAAUAAUAUUAAUUUAUAUUAUAAUUAUAAUUAAUAUAAUAUGAAUGUCAAGCCCUCGAAUAAAUGCCUAUAAAAUAAUGUUGUGGCAUGGCCCCAUGGAGGUCUUGUUUGGAAUGGAUGUAUGUAUCAGUAUAUCCCACCAACUUCAAGUCGGUUGGCACACAAUACACGAACAAAUCAUUCACAAUAUCACAAUAUGGUAAAAUAAUAUAGAUCCCCACUUUUUUUUUACUUGAAAUCGCGAAAUUUUUACCAAGAUAAGUGCUAUUCGAGAACAAUUAAUUGAUUUAGAUUUGUGAAUUCGUAGAGAUUAUUUGGAGGUAGAAUGGAAAAAGUUAGGAGAAGAAUGCUCAUGAGUUAUGAAUGAGAAUAACAAAAAAUUAGAAGAAGAAAGGAUUUUUUUUUGGUUAGGUGCUUGGAAUGGAAUUGGUUAAGCAUUUUAUUCGAACAGAUAUAGAACUGGAAUGAAUGGUUUUAUGUCGUUUGGCUGUUCAGAUCUUACCUGUUAUAGAGAGGUGGUUGUUAUACACCUAUAACAACAUGUUGUUAUAGAGAGAUAAUAAGCUUACCAUAAAAUUUGUAUUGUGAAUUUUUAUUAAAUAAAGAAAAUGAGAAUUAUAUUAAAAAAAGAAAGAAAAUAGGAACCAAAUAAAUAAAAUUAAAAGACAUAUAAUAAGUGUAUGUAUUAUUGUUUUUAUGCAUAUUUUAUUUUACAUUAUUUCACAUGAUUAAUUAUAAAGUCCAUAAAUCUAAUAAGUUCAAUUAAUCAAUGAGUUAUCAAAUUAAAUUAAUUAAUUAAUUAAUUUAUAAUCAUUGUUAACCAAUGAGGUAAACAAGAGGAAGAAGAAGAUGAUUGAACAAGGAAGAAUGAAGUGAAGGUUGGGGAGUGGUUUUAGUUUUGAAGAUAGUUAGGGGAUUGGGAAGGAGUGUGUACGUGAAUCUAUAUGACUUGUUUGCAUGCCCCUUUUAUAGUGGGGAAUAAGCUUGGAUACGUGUCUUGAGGUUACUGACAUGGAAAUUUGAUUUGAUACCCUUGGCAGUGAUAAUGAUACUACGUCCUAGAAUCACGUCCUAAGAUGAGAUGUUAUAGGGUGACUAGCAAUUAAUUACUUUGGUCCUCCACGUGCCCCCACAUAGUCUUAGCGGAGUUGUUCCUUUCUAAAGUUCAUCGAGUUGAUGUUCGUGAACCAACCCUAAGUUCGUAAUGUAGUUGGUUCCAUUGAGAGAUACGCGUUCAGCUCUCUAUGGAUGCACUUUGAGGUUCAUAAAGUACAUUGUAAGGUCUGGGAGGAUCACUAGACAAGGUAUAACAAUCAUGAAUUACUAAAUUCAAGUAAUCAAUUUAUAACUUUAUGAUAUUUCAAAUUCAUAGCAAAAUAUUUAAUUAGGGAGCUUAAUAGUUUAUGGAAUUGAUAUAUUUAAUUUCACUCAGUGAAGAUUAUUUUCAUUUAAUAAAACAUGAUUAAUAAAUUUCUUCAAGUGAAAAUUAAUCAUUUUGUUGAAAUAAUAUUUUGAUUAAGAUAAUUUUCAUUUAAUAAAUGCUAAGUAAUAGGCUUGCUUAUAUGAAAGAGCUAUAAUUUUACUUAAAAUUUAGAUAAUAUGUUGUUAUAGAGAACUAAUUUAAUAAAGAACGUACUUCAUAAUUAUAGAUGUUACAAUUAAUAGUGAAAAAUUAUUAUAGAAAGUUAAAAUAGAAUAUUAAAAAUCGAUUCUUCUAAAAAUUUAACUAUUAUAAUAGAAUGUUGUUAUAACGAGUGAUUGUUAUAGAAAAAAAUAAUGCAUUACCCUAACAAAAUAGAUAAAUUUAAACUCUGACAAUUAUGAAUGAAGCAUAUUAAUUUUAAUUUCUCCUCUUAAUAUCUAAUCUAAGGUUUUGGUUUAACUUGCAUAUUUCAAUGAAUUAAUGAAUUUUGUUUAUCUAUUGUGAAAACUAUAUAUUUAGAAUACAUAUAAUAGAUUAAAAAUAAUGAAAUAUAAAUAUUGAAAUUAAUUAACAAUAACACAUAAAAUAUGUACGAUAUUAAAAUAAAAUUUACAUAUUAAAUUGUGAGUAAAAUAAAAUUUAAAGACAUAAACACAUCAUAUUAAGAGCACUAAAUACACUCCAAUUGCUUAUUAUGGUGUUGUCAUCAAUCUAGAGUUAGUGCUGAAUUCACUUAUGACACCAACUCAAUCAGCAACAUUAUUAAUACUAGAAAUUUUAUCACACAUAAGCGUGUGGAAAUCACAUAUUUAGAAUACAUAUAUGUGUUUAAAAAUAACAUGUAAUAAAUAAUAAAAGAUAUUGUUUGAAACUAAUAAUAAGACACAUGCAAUAUGUACGAAAUUAAAAUGAAAAAAUAUAGUUUAAAUUGUAAUUUUUAAAAAAAGUCAUUUUCCUAUAACAUGUCAAAAAGUUAUUGAAAGAAAAUUCAAUAUUAAAAUUCAAAUUAUGGCACACCCACAAUGUUUGUGAAAAAUUAAAUUACGUAUCAAAUAUAUUUGUAAAAAACUUAUAUAAAUAAUAAAUAAUGUUUUAGUUGAAUGGUAAAAUAUAAAUGAGAAAAAUUAAAGAGACAUGAGUUUAAAUCUUAUUUUAUAUACACAUGAGCGCGCGCACACACACAUAUAUAUUUGCAUUUUUCUAUUUUUAUAUAAAAUAAAUAAAAUGAUAGAAAUGCCUUCAAAAUAAUACAAUUUAUUUCAUAUAGUCAGGGUAUUUUAAUCUUUUUUCAACUGAGUUGGUAUCUAAUUAACCCGUGACACCAACUCAAUAAGGAGCCUUAAGUAUAGAUAUACAAUUGGUGGAGGUAAUAUAGCGUGCAUAAUAAAAUUAAAAUGUAAAAAGAUAAAAUAAAUCUUUAGUUGAGCGGUAAUUUAAGCUUUUAUUAAUACCAUCAACUUGGGUUCAAGUCCCACUGAUUGUAUUUAUUAUUCUUUUUAAAUAAAAAGAUAAAAGUACCCUCGAAAAAUAAAAUUUAUUUUUAAGUAUUAAAGAACAUUAUGAUAAUUUUCCUAAUUGAGUCGGUACUUAAUUGACUUAUGGAAUUAACUUAAUCAAGAACUUGAAUAAUAGUAUAGAUAAUGACUUGUUUGUAUAUACAUGUUCAAUUUUGUAUGUUGAAAAAAACCUUGUUAUUGAAGAUGUAUUUAUAUUUCCUCAGCAAAAUUGAAAAUAGAGAAAAAUAUAAAGAGAAACGAUUUUUUAUUGUUUUUAUUUGUGUGCUUGAUAAAAUAUACGAAAAAUUGAAAGUAAAAGUAAUUUUUUUUUUAUUGAUUGUUUAGUAGAGUUAAAAAAUGAAUUCAUUAAAAAUGGCUUCUGUCAUAAUUUGCUUCCGAACUAUAAGUACUUAAAUAAAUUUUUUUGUCCCAUUUUGAUACCUCAUUCAUUAUAAUUUUCGGUCCAAAAUAUUAAUGGUAUUAAAAAAAUUGUCAAACCAACCAAUGCGCUACAUGUUUGACAUUUUCACGUGUCAUUAAUUAUGUGACCAAUUAUCGAUGAUGUGGUCGUUAAUCAUUGAUCGUAUCGAACAACUGUUUGCUAGACAUUGGUUGGCAUGUAAAAGAAGGUCACAUAUACCAUUAAUUUUUUGGACCAAAAUUUAUAACAAAACAAUAGUUUAGGUAUUAAAAUAGGGAAAAAUGUUUACGCAAUAAAAUAAGAAAAGCAGAAUAGUGACUCGUGACCUAAACUUAAAAAAAAAUGCAUAAUUUUGAUAUAACAUACAUUUCUCUUAUCAUCCCAAUUUAUCAUAAUUUAUUUUUAUGCACUAAAAUGUAAAAUUAUUAUCCCUUCUUAUAUUUGAUCAAGUACGCCCUAUUUUUACUUCUUCACUUUUAUCUUACUUUUUAUUACAACACCAAUUUUAAAAAUAAAUAGAGUUGAAACAACAUUUUAAAAAAUAAUAAGAAACAUGACUAGGUUUACACAUUCAACCUCGUUUAUUUAUUGCCUUUUGACACAGUAAAUUUCCAGAGCAAGGGAAGACAUAAUCGUAGGAUAAAAGUUGCAAAGUUUGGCAUUCUGAUCUCAAUUUUUUAAAAUAAUAACAUGAAUAAACUAAUGAUAGAUUGAUUUAUUUAUUCUCUUUUUAAUUUUUUAUUUAAUCUGUUUUUUUUCACCAAUUUGUAUUAAUUUAAGAAUUUUGAUUUGUCUUAAAAUUAAAAGUGAUAAGUAUCGAAUUGAAUAUAUGUGAAAAUAUGAUGUAGUAUUAUAAAUGUGAAAUUGAAUUAAUAUCAUUAUGUGUAAUGCUAUUAUAUUGGAGAAUUGAUUAUUGGUUGAUGAAAUUAUGUAAUGAAAUUGAGAAAUUGUUACCCUAUUAACUGUUCGGGUAGAGUCGGAUAUAGUUGGCAUGCCAUAGGAUAGGAAGAGUUCAGGGUUACUUCGGUUGUACCGAUGAGGCACUGAGUGUCAAACACAUUGAUGAGCGUUGGGCUCAAACUAUUUACUUCGACAUUGUCCGAUGAGGCACUGGGUGUCAAACUGGUUUGAUUGGUUAGAUCCGUAUAUAUGUCCGAGUCCGAUUUAGAUUAAUAGGGGUAUAAAAUAAAUUUUGAUAAAUGAUAUUUGAAUUGGGUUAAUAUUAUGUUUUGAUGAUUUGUAUACAUAUUGUGAUUAACGGAUAUCGAUGACACGUAAAAAAUCAUACGAACCAGUUAUGUGCCUGAUGGGCCGAUAUAAAAAUGUGAUGAAUCAAUAAGUUCAAUUCAGAAUUUAAAUAAGGAAAUGAAAUAGUAAUUGUCAUUAAACUUAAAUUGGAUAUAUAACUGAUAAAUAGAUGGAAUGACAUAAUAUUAUAAGAAUGAUGUUCAUAUGGUUAAAUGUUGAAUUGAUUUUGAGAAUGGUAUUGAAAUGUGAUUUUAGGUGAGGUUUAUUUCAUAUUGAAAUGUUAUAUGAUGAGUUUAAAUGUUAACUCAGCUUGUUGAUUUAUGAUUGUCAUGUUUAGGUAAAAUUGUCAAGUUGAAUAACUUGUUGUGUUAAAUCGUAAAAUAAGGUAAGAUGUUUAAAUACCAGUGAACUUACUAAGCAUUUGUAAUGUUUACCUUCCACUUGUUUCCUUUUCCCUGUAAAUUGCCAACUUAAGGAACGUGUCAAGUGGAUCUUUGAGAAACUCACAUUAUCAUGUUGUUGAUUCGGUAUCUUUUAAUCAUUUAAAGUUCAAUUUUGUGGCAUGUAUAUAGGUAAUUUGUUUUGAUCAAUCUUGAAUGUUGGCACUUUGGUUCUUGAAUGUGAUUGGUAUUUUGAAUGGUUAUAUGUUAUAUACAUAGGUGUAAAGGUUGGUAAUGUGAUGCUCGAGUAUAGGCAUAAUAUGUAUAGAUAUGUUAUCUGGGAGUGAUAGUGUUUUUGGAACCUUAAAUAAUGUUAAACUUAAUUGGCAAAUAGGUUGUGUACUAAAAUGUGCACUUUGACAUUUUUGUCAAGUUAUGGUAGAAGCUUAAAUGGCAUUUAUUGAGGUUGAAAUGUUAAGAUGUUUGGCGUGCCUUAUUGAAUGAUUGAUGAAUACAUAUGCUAUUAAGCUUACCAAAGUGUUCAUUACAUGUGAAAUAACUUGUACGGUUUUGUAGUUAACAAAAUGGAUGAAUUAGGAUGUGUUUAGAAUAAUUUUAUGCAGGUUUGUAUUGGCCAAAUGUACACCAUUUUAGCCUUUAAUUUGUUUUGAUUAUAUUUAUUCUUUUUACUAUAAUGUUUAAAAUUAUUCAUAAUCUCUUUCGAACUCAUAAAUAAAAAAAUACACUAUUUUCAAUCUAACUAUCGUCAAUCUAAGACGAAUUUCAUAGUUUGUCGUUUUAGUAUCUUACGUAAAGAGAACGAAAGAAAAGUUCAACAACCGGAACUUAGACCUGGCAGUCUACACGUCUUCAUUUAAUAUUCGAAAUAGAAUAUUAUUAUUGAGCUUAUAUUACAUGUUACAAUAUAUGUAGAAUGAAACAAAAGAAUACUAUUGAGGAAAUUAAUUAAAUUAAAAUCCCUGUUAAGGAGCAGUGCAUUCUUUAGGAAGUCCCUGAGGGAAUCGCUUGGUGUCAGUGCAGUAAUUGUAAAUCAUGUAAUUUUUCUGAACCCAUUUCAGCCUUUCUUGGCUCGUUAUAUCCAGUUCUUGCGAUAGCCAUGAAUUUUGAGAGGGCGAGGUGGAGGAACAUGAUGAUUUCCCGGAAGACCACACACAUGUAUCAGCCUUGUAAUUCCUGUAAGCAGCGGUGAAAGGAGCUUGGCUCCAAUCUGUCUUAACAAGACCACCUCGAGUGGCCCAAUCAUCGGCGUUCCAAAGACUCGAAUACACUCUCAUCGGCUGGCUCUUUGGGAACGCAACGCCCUUCGAUUCCAAGUUCUUGAACUCUCUGAGCGGAGUCCCAUCAACAGAGAAGCUGUGAACAUUCAAAAGAAUCACAGUGAAACAUAAUGAAAAUAAUCGAAACUGUAAAAUUGAAUGGGGGGGGGGUUGUAAAAGAAGACGUACAUAAUACGUUGAGGGUUCCAAAGAAGGGAGUAGGUGUGGAAGUCUUUGGUGGGAUCGAACCAAAGGUAGAACUGUUGCUCUUUGUCACCUUUGCCUUGUGUAUAUACAUUGGUGUGGACUAUGUAUGGGUCUCCGCUUAGGUUCCCCAAGAACUCGAAGUCGAUUUCAUCCCAUGUCGACCCUUCCGAACGAAGCUGCAAUUGUCACCCCACAUAUCAGCACAGAGUUGUAAAAUAAAUAAGAGACAAGUAUGAUGAUACAACUUACAUAGUAAGUGGUAACAGUGCCAGCAGAGUUGCUUGGGACCAGCUUAAUGUUCAUAUCAAUCUUCCCAAACAGAUAUUGGUUCUUGGAUUGAAAACCAGAGCCGGAGAAUUUGUCGAGGGUGAGAGUGAGAAGGUUUCCGUUUUCGAGAAUCUUGCCCCUCCCAUCUCCCCAAGUAACGUCGAUGUCUUGGUUAAAGUUGGCGGCUGAAGCAACCAUUACAAAGCUGAUUAAGGCAGAUAGUAGCAGCAAUGAAGUCCUCAUUUUUUUUGGUAGGUUUGUAUUAUGAUGUUAGGAAAUGGGGGAGUGAUAGAGGGUGGUUAUAUAGGGGAGGUGGAUUUGGUGAGAAAGAUGAAGAGAGAAGCUUCGUGGUAUGUGUUACCGUCGGGACAUUGAGUGAAUCAAAGUUGUAAACAGCUGGAAACAUAAAGAGAAAGAAAGAAAAGAAAAAGGUCCAAAUCAAUAAUACUGAGGGGUGUUGCUUGGAAGUUGGUACCAAUAUGCAUGUAUAAUUUAUGGAUUUGGUGCCGCCUUUCCAUGUCUGGUUACUGUGCAUUUGCAUGUCAGGAAUUGAACCGGCAGUUGAAGCAGUAAAACUUUGAUUCAGAGUUUCAACUUUAAAAUAAUUAAUAUUCAUUAUAUCCAUCAGUGUAAUAAACAUAUCACAAUCAAAACACACUGUAAUACACUCACCAAUCCCAAACGAGGUUGGGGUUUGGAGGCCAGAACCCAACUGUUUAUACGCAGGCUUAUACGUUGUGCAAUUUGAGUGAACCACAAGAUUUCAUUAGCCUAAAACCAGUGGUGUUAAUUAAUGUGAGUCAUUGUCAUAUUGGCUGACUAAUUUUUGGGGACCAAACCAGAACUCAACCACUGGGCUCAUCACGUUAAUCAAAACAACUAUUAAUUAUUAAUUAUUAAUUAAAUCCAUUACAAAAAAUGCCUGACCAUAACUAUUUUCUUUUCAUUUAUUAUCUAGACUGAAAUUUGAAUCCUUAAUUCAAAAAAGUAAAAUCCAUUGGUGAAUUACUUUGUGUUUGAUUAUUUCAAGGAUUUCCGUAAUGAAAAAAAUCUUAACUUUUGAACAAGUCAAUUGUUCUAGAAAUAUCUUAAAAAGUCAAGUAAUAAUAUACAUUCUAAAAAAAACUAAAAUUGAUAAAUCAAUAAUCUAUUAAAUAUUAAAUUUAGGUGUUAUUUGAUAAAUUAAAAAAAAUUAAAUGUUCAAAAAUUAAGUAUUGAGUUUAAGUUAUAAAAUUUGUUUGAUAUAUUACUUAAAAUUAGUUAUGGAAUAUAAUUAGAUUGUUUGAUAAAUAUAGAUUUUAAAUUAUAAAAAAUUAUAUUCUACAUUUUAUCUUUAAUUUUUAAACAUUUCACCUUAUUCUAAACAAAAAUUAAAAUUUCAAACGUAAAAUUUUUAUAAAAAAUAUAACAUUACAAAAAACUAAAAUUAAAAUAAUUGAAAAUAUUUUCAAUUAAGUGAUAAAUAAUUUUUAUCUACUUAUUAUUUUUCACAUUUUUUUAUAAGGAAUUCUAACAUAUUGCCUUAAUUUUCAACUUUUUAUCAAAGAAGGUCUUAGUCAUGAUUUAAUUAAAAUUUAACAUUGUAUUGUGCCCUCUUCUUUUCAUAGAAAAAGCCUAGCUAUUCAACUUUUUCAAAUUAAAUCUUUACUCUGUGGGCAGCGGCGCUGGCCUUCAAGCUUGUUGCUAAUCACAAUUCCUCUUAACAAUUUUUGUAGUUUUAUUUUGUUUUUAAUUUCAAUCUACAUUAUUGUGGUUUUGUCUACAGUUUUGUGGUUUUAUUUUGUCCACAUUUUUUAUGGUUUUUGUUUUGUCCACUUUGUUUUCUUUGAAAAUAGUGGUGGUUUUAUUUUUACAUUUAAUUUUUUAGUCAUGUUCUAACAGGUAUGUGAGAUAUUGUAACACCCCCAACCCGUAUCCGUCGCCGGAACUGGGUUACGGAGUAUUACCGGAUAUAUCGGAUAACUUAUCACUAAUUCACAAAUAAAUAACAUACAUAGCAUACUUUAAUCAAUACAUUACCUAGAUAUUAGAUACAUGCCACAAUAUCAAAAGAAAGGCACAUCACUAAAAUUCACUAAUUCAAAAAUAUUUUUAAAGUCACGCUUAACUUAUAAUUAUUAAUUAAUAAAUUUUUCUAACUUUUUGAUCGAAUUUAGUGAUCUCAAAUCACUGUUCUGACACUACUGAAAAUUGAGCUGUUACAACUCUUCCCCCCUUAAAAAUUUUCGUCCUCGAAAUUUCUCACUGAUACAAGCUAUUAAGUCAAAUCUUUCUUCCACCUUUUUUAUCGAAGUCCAUAAAAUUAAUCAUAACUCAUAUCACUUCCGAACUCAUAUCAAAACUCAUUUUAGAACUUGAUACUAUGACUGAACUUAAUUGAGUAGCUCUGAUGUUCUCCUGUCAUCACUUUCUCACUAGUAGUAUAACUACCGAGAAUUUCCAGUAAUCGUCAAUCAAAACAUAACUGAGAAACCCGUAUUAUUAAACUCUGACUGAUAUUUUUGACGUGGUUGCAUCUGUAACUUUCAACUGAUAUUUGUUUCUUUUUUUUUCCAUGAAAGCGUCAAGUAAUAUCAUUUUACACAACUGCAAUAACUUCAACAACAAGGACAACUUUAACCCAUAAUAAUAUUUCCCGAUUAAAACUGACCUGAUAGAUAUAUUUCUGUAUCAAGUCUUCUAGAAUCUGAUUUUUUCAUUCUGAUUGUCCUUCUAUUUACCCAUGAAUACACAAAAUUUAUUCCCGGUCCUGAGAAUAGACUCAAAUGCAUAAAAACCAGUUGCCUACGGAUUAUCCUUCAUCCUUUAUCCAGCAGAGCCAUCUCUUGCAAUCUAUGAACCUGAACCAUCUUAUCUAAUACCUUCGAACGAAGACCUUGAAAACCCAUCCAGCCAGAAAAAAGCAGAUAAUUUAAACCCAUUGUGAAGACCCAAAAUGUACUGAUUCCAUCAGUGAUUAUAACUCAAUUAACUUUUCAAUGAAUAACCCACUUUGAUUAGAACAACUGAGUCGAUUUUAUCUAUCAGAUAAUAACAUUUCAGAAUAAUCCAUUCUUCUUGUUGUCAAAACAAUCCAGAUAUACCAUAUAUCAUAAUUUUCUCGGAAUAUCAACAGAAAUUUACCACAAACUGCAUUAACUCAAACGAAUUAUGACAUCUCAUUAUUGACUUGCUGACAUAAUUCAGGAUUACCUGAGAAAUAAAAACCAAUGUACAAAUUUGAGCUCAAUCUUCCACCAUCUACUCUUUUUUCGAUGUCAACCCUUUCAUGAAAACUGGAAAAGAAUUAUAUAUAAUAAACCUAUUUCAAUUAUAAUCAUCGAAGCUUUGAACUAUACCGAAGCCACAACCAUCAGAUAGAUUAAAAACUAUAGAGCAAUAAUAGGACUGGCGUUCCAACUGUAUAGAUAGAACAAUACCUCAACAUCAAUAGUGAAUUCCAAAAUAGAUGAAGAAAAUCGAAAGGAGUCCCAUUAACAACCAGUGCAGUAAUACAACUUCUAUAAUAUGAUAUCCAUAUCACCGAGCUACCAUGAUUGAACCAAAAUUAAUAACAGUAAUAAAUAUAACUACCUCCGGCCAAUGAAUAACUUUUAUAGAUGAACCAUGUUUAAUAAAUAAGAUUAGACCAUAAGAAUGAUAAGAAAACCGAGAUAAUAAAAUCCAAGAUGUGAAGCUAUACUGAAUUUUCGAGAAUAAAAACCACAUUGAAUGAUAAAGAGAUCGAUGAUAUCCCAGAGAAAAUUCAGAAGAAGAAUAUCGCUCGUACACACUAAAAAUAGUUGUGAUAAAGACAAUAUAAAUUCCAUAUAUGUAAUUCGGAAAAUUCAACCAGUAGAAAUAGAAAAUAACUUCAUAUGAUUCUUAUCAUCAAGUCUUCUAUCAAACAUAAUAGAUUAGAAAACCAAAGAAAGAUAGAACAAUGCCAAUCAUAAAUCAACCAGACUAACAAUACUUCCAGCUAACAUUAUGUUUAACCAAACUUUCUAUAUGAUAAGAAUCACAUCUGAAAAUAAACAGUUGAUGCUUCUUUAUUUGUUCGGGUCGUACUGGUUCAACGUUGUAUGUUCUUGUGUACGUUGAUGAUAUUAUUGUUACAGGUGAUGUGCCUUCUGCUAUAGAGUGGUUUGUUCAAUUGUUAAAUAGUAAGUUCUCGCUUAAGGACAUGGGCGAUCUUCAUUACUUUCUUGGGAUAGAAGUUACUCGUUCUUCAUCAGGCUGUCUUCAUCUAUGUCAGAAGAAGUAUAUACGUGAUAUUCUUAUUCGGUGUUCGAUGGAAAAUGCGAAGAGUGUUAAUACACCGAUGAUUAGUUCCUCUAUCAUGACUAGAGAUGGUGGUGAGCGUUUAGAGGAUCCGACUGAAUACAGGAGCCUUGCUGGAGCAUUACAGUAUGUCACUCUUACGCGGCCUGAUGUUGCAUACGCUGUAAAUCGAAUAUGUCAGUUUAUGCAUUGUCCCACUUCUGUUCAUAUGACUGCUCUAAAGCGUAUUUUGAGGUAUCUAGGUGGAACGAUUGAAUUUGGGAUUGUGUUUCGUCCGUCCACUAGUUUGUCAUUAGUUGGGUAUGCUGAUGCAAACUGGGGGUUAGAUUUUGAUGACUGGAGGUCUACUACUGGGUACUAUGUUUAUUUCGGAUGUAAUCCUGUGUCGUGGUGUACGAAGAAACAGCAGGUUGUUGCUCGGUCUACUGCUGAGGCAGAAUACCAGAGUCUUGCCGCGGUCACUAGUGAGGUUACAUGGCUUUUGUCGUUACUUCAAGAAUUACAUGUUCAGUCUACUAGUAUUCCCAAUAUUUGGUGUGACAGUUCUGGUGCGGUUGCAGUUGCUACUAAUCCUGUUGUUCAUUCAAAGUUUAAGCAUGUUGAAUUAGAUUUAUUUUUCGUUCGUGAAAAGGUUGCUGAUGGUACUGUUGCCGUUGGUGAGGUUCCGGCGUGUGAUCAAGUUGCUGAUGUUCUCACUAAGCCACUUUCGCUAUCGAUUUUUGCUCGUUUUCGAAAUUUCCUACGGGUCUUGCCUGUGGAGAAGAUGGAUGAAUAUUAGAGUAUAGAGAGUUGUUAGUUAGUUGUGAAUAUGGUAGAAGGUUGUUGCUUAGUAUGGAGCAGUUACUCAUGUCUAUAAAUACUGUACAUCUGUAUUCAGAGAGCAAGGAUUUUUGAAUAAACAAACAAAGAAGUUUAUUCUUCAUUUUCUAUUUUGUUCUCUGUUUGGCUAGAUAUUUCUUUCUAUUUUAUCUAGCUCUUUCAUUCUCGAAAGGCUAGGCUAGUAACACUUUUACUCUACGAAAGAAAAACUGAGCCACCACAAACCAAGGCAUCCCCCCCCCCCCCCCACAAAAAAAAAUUGUAACUAAACAUCUUGUGAAAAUUCUUAAAAAAAUUAUAAAAAAUUAAAAAUUUUAAAUUUUAUACUGCAGUUUUUUAAUGAUUUUUACAAUUUUUAGUUAACGAUUAUUUUACAGUUUUUUUAAGAAUUGAGUAUUUUGUUACAAAAUUGUGUUUUUUCUCUAGGAAUUUGAGUAUUGGCAAAAUUAGGCAAAAAUGCCACUUUUAAUAAAAAAAAUUAGGAAAUCAAGAUCAAAUUGAUAAAAUAUGUAAGUAUUGAGGACUAAAUAUAUUAUUAUACCAGUUAGAAAAAGACUUUUGAUUAUCAAUUUAACGACAAGUAAUCAAAAUAAAAAUAAAUUCAAACAUUAAUACCUAAAUUAAAAAAUUUUAAAUUAAGUAACCAAAAUAAAAAAUGCGAGCAUAAUUAAGUAAAUUAUCAAUUUAUCCGAAUUUAUAUUAUAUUUAUUAUUAAUAUAUCAAAAUUUAUAUGAAUGUUAUAUUAUUUUAAAUCAUUUUGAGCUUCUAGUCAGCUACUAAAUGCGAAUAUAUAAUGUUGUGGCAUGGCCCAUCGAGGUCUUGCUUCGAAUGGAUGUAUGUUGAUAUAUGUCUCUCACCAACUUCAAAGUCGGCUGGCACACCAAACACGAACAAAUCAUUGGCAAAAUAUCACAAUAUAUAUCCCGAGGUGUCACAUGCGAUUUUUCUAUAGGUUUUCUUUAAGUAAGUUGACCAUAGGUCUACGGUAGCAACUGGAUACAUUUUCAAUCAGAAAAUAUUAAUAUAUACAUAUUUUAUAUAUGAAUAUGAUAAAAUAUCAGAUUAAUUUAAAAAUUUACAUAUAUAACAAUUACAAUUAUAUCAAUAAUUGUAUUGUUAAAAUAUUAUUUGUAUAAAAAAUUAUAAUAUGAUUUUAAUUUUAGAUGGAUAAAAACAGAUUUCGUAGUUGAUUAUUGAGCUUAUAUUAUUAAUUACACCUAUAUAUUUCCCUGGUUAGAUGUUUUGACUUCAAUCAGAGAAACAUUAAAGUAGUAUAAUUUCCGAAACUGAAUAGUAUUAUUUAUUGAGCUUAGUUUUACAUGUUACAAAACAUUGACUGAAACAAAAGAAUACUGUGAGGCUGCUUUUGAACAAAGUAUCUGUCCUUCGGCAUGACUAGCGAUGGGAAUCUUAAUCAACAAAUUAAGAAGCGGUGCACUCUUUAGGAAGUCCCAUAGGAAAUCGCUUGGUGUCGGUGCAGUAAUUGUAAAUCAUAUAAUUUUUCUGAACCCAUUUGAGCCUUUGUUGGCUCGCUAUAUCCAGUUCUUGCGAUAGCCAUGAAUUUUGGGAGGGUGAUGAGGUGUAGGAACAUGAUGAUUUACCGGAAGACCAGACACAUGCAUCAGCUUUGAAAGUCCUGUAAGAAGCAGUGAAAGGAGCUAGGCUCCAAUCCGUCUUAACAAGACCACCUCGAGUGGCCCAAUCAUCGGCGUUCCAAAGACUCGAAUACACUCUCAUCGGCUGGCUCUUUGGGAACGCAACGCCCUUUGAUUCCAAGUUCUUGAACUCUCUAAUUGGUGUCCCAUCAACAGAGAAGCUGUAAACAUUCAAAAGAAUCACAAUUAAACAUACUGAAAAUAAUCGAAACUGAAACGUUUUUAGAAAAAUGGGAUUGUAUAAUAAGACAUACAUAAUACGUUGAGGGAUCCAAAGAAGGGAGUAGGUAUGAAAGUCUUUGGUGGGAUCGAACCAAAGGUAGAACUGUUGCUCUUUGUCACCUUUGCCUUGUGUAUAUACAUUGGUGUGGACUAUGUAUGGGUCUCCGCUUAGGUUCCCCAAGAAUUCGAAGUCGAUUUCAUCCCAUGUCGACCCUUCCGAACGAAGCUGCAAUU
rnacentral:lncRNA from 1 species